AUAGUAGCCAUUUGUAUAACUUGACAACUGUUUGUUAAUUUGAGCAAGUGGUUUAGCAAAUAUUUUUGAUGAAUACAUUAUAGUUUUAUUGAUGUUUCGUUAGAAAAUUAACCUGCAACAAUGGGUCGGGCUACAAGAGUGAACCCACUUCAAGCAAACAUGCACCGAGUGACACGUGCAGUUUUGCCAGUACAGGAAGGCAUGUCAGUAAGGGCAGCUGCUAAGGCUCAUGGUUUAUCAAAGUCUGCCCUUCAACGGUACUGUGCAAAGCCAAAUCUACAGAUUCGAACAAAAGGUGGCCAGACAGCCUUACCUUCAGGUAUGGAAAAAGAUAUUGUCGAAGCAAUUGUAAAAUGUUCAGAUUGGGGGUAUCCACUAAGUUCUUUUGAUACCUGUUGCUUUCUAAUGUUUCAUCUGGAUCGAGAGGGGAAGAAUAUUCCAAAAUUUAGAGACAACCUUCCAGGUCACGAUUGAGCUCCGAGCUUUUUGAAAAGGAACAAAUAGAUACUCUCACAAAGAAUGUGCCAAAAUAUCAAAAGAAGCCGAGCAAGUGUGAGCCCUGGGGUUAUAAAUGAUUAUUUUGACCAAGUCACAAUUACACUGAAAGACAUUCCAGCUCAUCUCAUAAUAAAUUAUGACAAAACAUGCUUGUCAGAUGAUCAAGGUCGCCGAAAGCUUAUCUUCAGGAGGGGAUGCAAAUAUCCAGUGAGAGUUUUAAAUGAGAGUAAAUCUGGGGUGUCAGUACUGUUUGCUGCAACUGCAUCAGGAAAGAUUCUUCCCCCCUAUAUAAUUUACAAAUCUAUUUACAUAAAUAUGACCUCUGGAUACAAGGGCGUCUGGAAGGGGCACAGUACAGUAGGAGCAAGUCUGGCUGGAUAGAUGGCCAUUGCUUCCUCAAUUGGAUACAAAAGAAUGUUGUCCCAUAUUACAGAAGAUUCCAUGGAAGAAAGGUCCUAAUUGGGGAUAACUUGAGCUCACAUUUGUCACCAGCUGUAGUCAAGAUAUGUGUUGAAAAUAACAUCUCAUUUGUUUUGUACCACCCAACUCAACUCAUCUAACACAGCCACUAGAUGUUGCUGUCUUCAGGUCGCUAAAGAUACACUGGAGGUUGGUUUUGGAAAAAUGGAAGCUCAAAACCAAGAACAACAGCAAGUCAUUUGACAAACAGUAUUUUCCUUGUCUUUUAAAACAGACAUUGGAAAAAAUUAAUGUAAAUGACCAACUUAGCAAGGACAUAUCUUCAAGUUUUGAAAAAGCGGGCUUGAUCCUAUUGAAAAGAGAACGGGUCCUUGAAGGACUUCCUGCAUUUCCUGCUGAUCAACCAAACGAAGGACAGGAGAAUGAAAAAACAGUGAACGACAACCUCUCACAGUUUUUAAAGGAGAUGCGCUAUGGUAAUGAAGAACCUGAAGCAAUCAGAAGCAAGAAAAAAGCAUCCGAGAGUUCCACCAGGUCAGAGUGUUUCUCUUGCUGACUUUGAAUCAGAGGAUUGUGAUGUGAAAUUUGAUGAUGACAAUAAUAAAGAAAAUGAGGAAGUUGUUCAAAUCAAAGAAGGGGACUGGGUGAGGGUAAAAUUUCAGUAUGAAAAUAGUGUUGAAAAGGUUUUUAUUGGGAAGGUUUUGCAAGUGUGUCCAGAUGAAGAGGGAGCAGACAAGUUUGUUUGAUCAUUUCUAAGGCAAUCUAACAAGAUGGCUUCAAUUUACACAUUCCCCAAUGUCGCAGAUGAAUAUGAGUUCAGCAAAAAAACAGAUUUUGCAAGUGUUAAACCCACCUGAAAUUAGGAGGGGUAGGCAUACCUUCCAGUAAACCAGCAAACCUAGUGUUUCCACAUAUUUUUUGUGGUAGGGCCUACCGGUAAAUACAGUGUGUUUCUUAAUGUAGGUAACAUUAUACGUAUUCUGGAUGUAGACUAUCUUCCAAGACUGCAUAACAGCAUCAUGGAGCUUAUAAGUAUGAACUUGUUUUUUGUGCAAUUUUUAAAAUUCAUUUUUAAGAUGCCUUUUUGAAAUUAUUAUAUAGACAAAUUUAGAAUAAAACUACUAAUGGAAGUGAUUUAACCUUUAUAAAAACGUUUUACAUGAAUUUAAAAAGCCAAGCAUAUGUCCCUAUUAACCAUACUAUGAUUAAAAAGGGAAACCUAUUGAAAAACCUCAGGUGUCCCUAUUAACCCCACCUCUAGGGUGAAUAGGGACAUGCAAAAAAAAAUUAAUUUAUGUAAAACAUUAACAGAAAAGACAAUAAUUUAUAAUGCUAUAUAAAGCUAAUAAAAAGAACUAUUAAAUAAAAA